GACGAACGCUGGCGGCGUGCUUAACACAUGCAAGUCGAACGGAAAGGCCCUGCUUUUGUUGGUUGCUCGAUUGGCGAACGGGUGAGUAACACGUGAGUAACCUGCCCUUGACUUUGGGAUAACUUCAGGAAACUGGGGCUAAUACCGGAUAUGAGCUCCUGCUGCAUGGUGGUGGUUGGAAAGUUUCGGCGGUUGGGGCUGGACUCGCGGCUUAUCAGCUUGUUGGUGGGGUAGUGGCGUACCAGGGCUUUGACGGGUAGCCCGCCUGAGCGGGUGACCGGCCACAUGGGGACUGAGGUACGGACCAGAAUGCUACCGGCGGCAGCAGUGGGGAAUAUUGCACAAUGGGCGGAAGUGUGAUGCAGCAACGCCGCGUGCGGGAUGACGGCAUUCGGGUUGUAAACCGCUUUCGCCUGUGACGAAGCGUGAGUGACGGUAAUGGGUAAAGAAGCACCGGCUAACUACGUG
rnacentral:rRNA from 1 species